GUUCCUGUAGUACAAUGGAUAGCCCAUUGGAUUUCUAAUCCAAAGGUUGUGGGUUCGUUCGAAUCCCACCUGGGAUG